CAAUAGCGUAUAUUAACGUUGUUGCAGUUAAAAAGCUCGUAGUUGGAUUUCUGGAGGGAGCGUCGGCCCGUAUUUACGAGUGCGUGACGUCUCUGUCCAUCCUUGCGGGAAGGCACGGCAUUGAUUUGUUGUGUCGGAUCGCAUCAUUUACUGUGAAAAAAUUAGAGUGUUCAAAGCAGGCUUUCGCUUGAAUACAUUAGCAUGGAAUAAUAAGAUAGGACUUUGGUGCUAUUUUGUUGGUUGAGCCUAAAGUAAUGAUUAAUGGGGAUAGUUGGGGGCACCUGUAUUGCGUUGUCAGAGGUGAAAUUCUUGGAUUUACGCAAGACAAACAGCUGCGAAAGCGUCUGCCAAGGAUGUUUUCAUUAA
rnacentral:rRNA from 1 species